GAUGAACGCUGGCGGCGUGCUUAACACAUGCAAGUCGAACGAUGAAGCCCAGCUUGCUGGGUGGAUUAGUGGCGAACGGGUGAGUAACACGUGAGUAACCUGCCCUUAACUCUGGGAUAAGCCUGGGAAACUGGGUCUAAUACCGGAUAGGAGCGUCCACCGCAUGGUGGGUGUUGGAAAGAUUUAUCGGUUUUGGAUGGACUCGCGGCCUAUCAGCUUAUUGGUGAGGUAAUGGCUCACCAAGGCGACGACGGGUAGCCGGCCUGAGAGGGUGACCGGCCACACUGGGACUGAGACACGGCCCAGACUCCUACGGGAGGCAGCAGUGGGGAAUAUUGCACAAUGGGCGCAAGCCUGAUGCAGCGACGCCGCGUGAGGGAUGACGGCCUUCGGGUUGUAAACCUCUUUCAGUAGGGAAGAAGCGAAAGUGACGGUACCUGCAGAAGAAGCACCGGCUAACUACGUG
rnacentral:rRNA from 1 species